rnacentral:sRNA from 1 species
AUCUACACUAUCCAUAUUCAAAACGCGACGUCCUGUCGCAUCAGCUGCAUGACCUGCAUCCUGCAGG